rnacentral:tRNA from 1 species
GGGGUUGUGGCUCAGCGGUAGAGCACUCACCUAGCAUGUGUGAGGUCCUGGGUUCCAUCCUUAGCACCACA